AUGGCAACCGACCGUAACAUAGCUAUCACCAAUAUCUAUGCCCCCUCCUCCCGCACCCUCAGACAAUCCUUCUUCGAUGAGCUACUUGCUAUCUCACAACCAGACGGCUCUCCAUGGUUACUUGUAGGAGAUUUCAACCUACUCCGUUACCCCUCAGACAAAAAUAAUGAUGCGUUUAGACAAUCCGAAGCCAAUGCUUUCAACCAAACACUGGAUGAACUCCCCCUCAUCGAGCUGCCGCUUCUUGACCGCCAAUACACUUGGUCCAACAAUAGAGCAUCAACCACCCUAGAACGUAUCGACCGUUCUUUUUCAACCUAG
rnacentral:rRNA from 1 species